rnacentral:misc_RNA from 1 species
GUGAAUCAUCGAAUCUUUGAACGCAAAUUGCGCCUGCGGAUUCGUCCAAAGGCAUGUCUGCCUCAGCGUCGGCGCACCUCUCUCGCCCCCUUUUCCUUGUUUUCACGAACAAGCGUUUUUGGGGCGUGGACCUGGCCCUCUCGGCGCGUCUGCUUUUUUGUUUUCAAAGAAGCAGUUCCGGCGCCGUGUUGGCUGAAACGCAGAGGCUUGAGCAGCGACCUCGUGUUGUCACGACACCUGGGCGACGGCUUGGUAGGUCGGGCUUGUCCCACACCCCCGCCGCCGCCUUGUGGUCCUGCU